rnacentral:rRNA from 1 species
GCUCAACCGAAGAAGUGCAUCGGAAACUGGGAAACUUGAGUGCAGAAGAGGACAGUGGAACUCCAUGGGUAGCGGUGAAAUGCGUAGAUAUAUGGAAGAACACCAGUGGCGAAGGCGGCUGUCUGGUCUGUAACUGACGCUGAGGCUCGAAAGUAUGGGUGGCAAACAGGAUUAGAUACCCUGGUAGUCCAUACCGUAAACGAUGAAUGCUAAGUGUUGGAGGGUUUCCGCCCUUCAGUGCUGCAGCUAACGCAUUAAGCAUUCCGCCUGGGGUGUACGGCCGCAAGGCUGAAACUCAAAGGAAUUGACGGGGGCCCGCACAAGCGGUGGAGCAUGUGGUUUAAUUCGAAGCUACGCGAAGAACCUUACCAGGCCUUGACAUACUAUGCAAAUCUAAGAGAUUAGACGUUCCCUUCGGGGACAUGGAUACAGGUGGUGCAUGGUUGUCGUCAGCUCGUGUCGUGAGAUGUUGGGUUAAGUCCCGCAACGAGCGCAACCCUUAUUAUCAGUUGCCAGCAUUAAGUUGGGCACUCUGGUGAGACUGCCGGUGACAAACCGGAGGAAGGUGGGGAUGACGUCAAAUCAUCAUGCCCCUUAUGACCUGGGCUACACACGUGCUACAAUGGAUGGUACAACG